CUCUCCUACGGGACGCAGCAGUAAGGGAUAUUGGUCAAUGGGGGAAACCCUGAACCAGCAACGCCGCGUGAGGGAAGACGGUUUUCGGAUUGUAAACCUCUGUCCUCUGUGAAGAUGAUGACGGUAGCAGAGGAGGAAGCUCCGGCUAACUACGUGCCAGCAGCCGCGGUAAUACGUAGGGAGCGAGUGUUGUCCGGAUUUACUGGGUGUAAAGGGUGCGUAGGCGGCUUAGCAAGUCAGUAGUGAAAUCCAUGGGCUUAACCCAUGAACUGCUAUUGAAACUGUCUCGCUUGAGUGCAGUAGAG
rnacentral:rRNA from 1 species